rnacentral:rRNA from 1 species
UUUGGCAAUUACUUCAUCAUGGAAGCAUUUGGCUGAUUUCAAAAAAGCUAAGGAAGGAUUGGACCUAUUUAGUAUUUGGAUGAGAGCCCACUGAGAAAUCCCAGGGCAAUGGAAAGU